GAUGAACGCUAGCUACAGGCUUAACACAUGCAAGUCGAGGGACCGGCGCACGGGUGAGUAACACGUAUCCAACCUGCCCUUUACCCGGGGAUAGACUUUCGCAAGAAAGAUUAAUACCCGAACUAAAGGAUGGGGAUGCGUUCCAUUAGGGUCUUGGUGAGGUAACGUCCCACCAAGCCUUCGAUGGAGAGGGGAGCGGAGAGGAAGUCACCCCACAAUGGAGCUGAGGCACGGUCCAAAAUCCUACGAGGGGCAGCAGUGGUGAAUAUUGGUCAAUAGGCGGUAGCCUGAACCAGCCGAGUAGCGUGAAGAAGUAUGGCGUAUGAGUCGUAAACUUCUUUGAUAUAAGAAUAUGUAUUAUAUGAAUAAGGAUCGGCUAACUCCGUGCCAGCAGCCGCGGUAAUAC
rnacentral:rRNA from 1 species